rnacentral:lncRNA from 1 species
AGCUGUGCGACUCGUCCAAGGAACACUACUGCUGCAAGAAGAACGGUUUUUGUUCCUGAGUUGGAAUGUUCCCCAAAACGGUGAAUCUGAUGUGAAUUUGCUUGAUGAACAUGUGAAUGCAUUCUGGAAUUAUCAAAAGGAUAAAUUGCUUCUGUGACAACCUUUCACAUUAACAAAACAGAUUUUACACCAUUUGCCAUCAGUAUAAAACAAUAUAAUCAUCUUCUGGGCUUAGCGCCACCAUUGCCUUUGCUCGCAGACUUGCCACCUUUGCCUUUGUUCGCAGGCUUGCCACGUUUGCCUUUGCUCGCACCUUUGCCACCCGUUUUACCACCUUUUCCACCACCUUUGCCAGGCUUGCCACUUCCUCGGGAUCGUGAAUCCUUCUUCAUGCGACGAUCCACCACAAGCUUCCCUUUGCCACCCUUGACCCCGCCCUUCUUCGCCACAACGAGCUCCCGCUUGGGACGCUUAGUGGUCGUCGCCGCCGCUUUCUUGUAAACCUUGUCCAUCAUCCUGUUCUUGGACUUGUUCGAGAUGUUCGGCUGAUCGGCAAUCGCCGCCGCUUUGCUCCGUGCUUGCUCCAUUUUCUUCAUCACCCUCCGCUUCUUGUGAGCCUUGGCCUCAGCAACCUUCUUCACGGGCCUCGCGUUUAUCGCUCUAAACUGAGCCCUCAUCGCCUGGACCUCUUCCUUGGUGAAUGCCGCUUCUCGUCGUCCGCGAACCAUUCCGGAAGCCCCUCGUCGUCGAACAUGUACUUGUUGUACGCGUCGUCGAUGAUCCUGUCCCUGUCCUUCUUCAGCAGUAUCUUCUUGGCGUAAGUGAGGAUCUCUGCCUUGGCAUCGCUGUCGUAGUCCUCCUCUUCGUCCGAGGAAGAGUCAGACGAACCACUCGGCUCGGCUGCUACAACUUCAAAGUCUUCCCGUGCUCUCUUGAGAUUUCCUGGCGCAACCGUGAGAUCGCUCGGAGGAGCGUUCUUGGCAGUCUUCUUGGUAUCCAUCUCCUGGGUUUGAUCUAAACCGGCGAAGACGUUUUGCCUGAACCAUUGCUGUGCAAUCUGUUCCUUCGAGAGCUUGGCCUUGGGAAGCGACACGACGAGAGGAUUGGCCUCCUCCUCCUCUUCUUCUACUUCGUUUUCUUCUUCUUCAGAAGCAUUCUCUUCCACGUCCUCCUAAGGAUAUUGUCAGCUGCUUGCAAGUUCUAACACUUUCAUUUGGCUUACCUCCCACAGCUUUUCGUCUCCUGCAUUAGCCAUUCUUGCGCGUUUCCGCCGUGCAGUGUUGCUUUCAGUCUUGCCCGGUAGCGUUCGUAUGCACAAUCGAGGAAAGAUUCCAGCUCGUCGUUGUAUCUGCGAGAGAUUACGUUAACACUUCCAAGGCGUAGUUCUUACCUUUCGCGCUCGACGUCAGAAUCCACAUCAUUGUCUUCGUCAUCCUUCCGCUCCAUGUCCUGCUUACUCGUUUCAUCCUUCACAUUGUCAUCGCUGUCUAACAUGUCGUCAUCCGCACCUUCGACCCGAUCCAAGCUUUUCUUCACCUGGAAAAAUGUAUCCAACACGAGCUCAUAGGCACUGACGAGAAAGCGGACAAACAUACCUUGAUUGAGCCCAAAGAGAACAGAUCCCGCUCGCCAUAAGUGUCUCCCAAGACAUCGACUUGCAUCCCUGUUCUAUUUCGUGCGUUAGUGUUGUGGCCCAUCAACAUACACCACCAACAAAAGAUAGACAAACAAUAUGUACCUUCUGUUUUCGCUUGGCAGCCUUCUUCUUCGCCUGCUUGCUUUUCGAAUCCAUUAGAGACUUGAGCUCCUUCAUUUUGUUUAGCGUAUCCUCGUCUUCAUCUUCUUCUUUUUCGUCGUCAUCCUUUUCAGCAGCCUUAUCACCCUCUGUUUCCUCCGAAGCUGACGUUUUCGAAAGAGCUUUUCGUACAUGCAGGCACCACCUGAGAGAACCAAAUGAGCAUGAAAGACAACAGCCACAAGAAGUAGAACCUACUUCAAAAGUUGCUUGAAUUCUUUCUUCCCCAGAACUCUAAGGUCUUCGCAUAAUGCCUUUAUCUACAAGAAAAAAGUCCUCCAAAUCAAAACAAGCAAACGAGGAUUAGAUAUGAACGUACCUCGUCAGUUGUUUCAGCGUGGUCUUUGAUUGGCGGAUCCUCAAACGAAAUAGACGUGAUGCUACCAAGAAGCUCUAGAGGUUUUUCGGACCAGACGAAGUCUGCUGCCGUGCAGUCUUUACGAAAAGGAGGAGCAAAGCGGAGGAGCACAAAGAGGCGAUGAAGGCCAAAGCGGGAGAGGCCGAGGAGCACGGCAGGGACUGCUUGAGUCGGUGGGCUAGGCUGUGAGUCACGCGGCCUUCUCGCUGAAGGGCGCCGUUGUGGGUGGCAGCGGGAAACGGUCGAGAAGUCUUCCGAAGAGGCCGAUAGUGCCAACCGAGGAAAAAUGUGAAGAAUUGAGUGUGCUUAGUUAAUUAAUAAGCCAUAGCUUUUGUCGUUGAUCUCAUUACAAAUUAUUGAAUUACUUACCUGCACAUAUGAAAAUCUUGGCUGAGAUUGCGAAGCCCGUUCUGCUGUUCAGCAGCUUCCGUGAUCGCUGUCCAUGAAUUCCGUAUGAUCUCGAAGCACUCCUCCCCCUCCCUCUGGGAUAAAACACUUACAAAAACCCGGAAAAACUUUCAAUGCCAACCUUGAAAGCGUUCGAGACGAUGUCAUAGUACGUAGUGUAUGGAACAAUGUUCUCGAACUGUAGUAUCGGUGCUGACGACGCGAGAGCUCCGAUCGCAAUGUGCGGAUACUUCAGCCGAAACCACGCAGCCAACACUGAAAAAAGCUUGUGAGAACCUCCAAAGAAAAUCUCAUUGAAACCACCUUACUUCCACCAUAAGAACCGCCAAAGACCACCACUGGCGAUGCUUGCGCUGAGAGAUUCCUCUUGAGAUCAAGUAUGAGCGUCGCGAAAUCGGCCAGAGCUUGCUCGGCAGAGCAAAAUGCCAGUUCCUUAGGACCGUUUUGGCCUCCAAAAGGCUGUGAUUUUCCAUAGAAUCGGUGCUACAAUCACAGAAAGAGAGAGAGAGAGAUUGAUCGAAGGAAAGAAGAACGAGAAAGAACAAAAACCAACCUCCGGGAAGACGAGCAGUGCUCUAAAGAGAUGAGCAAUAUCAAACAUAAACCCAGUGUUCUCGGCAAACCACACAAUGUCGCCCUUGUUACCACAGUAGACCAAGAUGGGAGCUCCACUGGCACCUCCACUCCACGAGGCACUGUGGAGGAGAUAGUGCUGAACUAAUACUUAAACAAUGUAUUGCGGAUACUUAAACAAUGUAUUGCGGAUGUCGUCAUCUGUGAGAUUUGGUAUAAUAUUAGUAGAGAUAUGAUAAUCUGAGCUUCGCUCAUCUGCCUGGAAACGCACAAGCGAUCAGCAAGACUAGAUCCACAAUAAUACUUAGGCGAAGCCUUCUUUCAAGGCAAGCAGCAGCGCAGCUCCUCUUCUCAGCAAUUGCAUGCGAUGAUGGUGAUGAGUUCUUGUUCGCCAUUCCUUUGCGUUUACCUGAAUCAGGAGGGCAAUCGCUGCCAGGAGCAAGAGCGCGCAGCUCCUCGCCAUUUUUAUCCCUAAAGUCGUCAAAAAGUGGAGCUAAGGGACUACUUUACUGUGUAAUUAAUUUAAACCUGUAAGUAAUCAAAAUAUCUCUCGGGUCACGUACGGGGAUGCCAGUUUUCCCGUACUCUCCGUUCCUUUAGUCCAGGCUUUUCCAUUCAAUAUCGGGUUGUUGCUCUCCAGAAUACUUUAAUCUCUGGUCCUGCAAUUUUGUCACUGCAAUGGAACUAACAAGUUUCAUUCAGCGCAGAUUUCCAUCAGCCUAGUAGCGACAUUCCCUUCAUUUCUGAAUAGUAGCCAAUCAGCUUAAGCAUGGACGUCCCACGCGAUGCACGCAGGCAUUGCCCAGCAGCAGCGCAUAUAAACAGAUGCAAGCUUGAAAUUGUAGCUCUAAAGUUUCAGUUCAAUGGCGAAAUUGCUUGUUCUUUUCUCCCUCCUCUUCGGCCUGCUGCUCUUGGCAACCGAUGCAUCUCGCAACACUCAGCGUACGUGCGAACUUCUGCAUUGCAAUUUCAAAUCUGUGGAAUCCAUAUGCAGCGGUUGACAAGGAGGGCACCAGUGAGAAUUACAAUGUCAUUGUCGAGGGACCUCGUGAAGGCAGCGAGGCUGGCCCUGGUCUCAACAACUUUGUCACCCAGCAGCUCCCUGGGAAGCACGGUAUGAUCAGGAGCUUUUGUUAUGCCCCACUGUUUCUCCGUUUGUUUAUGCUGCAGGCCUCCAAGAUACAUACUGUUGCCGGAAGGAUGCUUUCGGAUCAUGUCUUCAGGAGUGCGACUCGGGCGUCAAUUACUACUGCUGCCUCAAGAAUGGAUUGGGCGGCUGUUUGCAGCUGUGCGACUCGUCCAAGAAACACUACUGCUGCAAGAAGAACCCUUUUGGUACCUGCCUUGGAAUGUGCCCCAAAACGUUGAAUCUGAUGGAUUUUGCUUGAUGAACAUGUGUGACUGCAUUCUGGAAUUAUCAAAAGAAUAAAUUGCUUCUGUGACAACCUUUCACUUUAACAAAACACCAUUUGCCAUCAGUGUAAAACAAUAUAAUCAUCUUCUGGGCUUAGCGCCACCAUUGCCUUUGCUCGCAGGCUUGCCACCUUUGCCUCUGUUCGCAGGCUUGCCACGUUUGCCUUUGCUCGCACCUUUGCCACCCGUUUUACCACCUUUUCCACCGCCUUUGCCAGGCUUGCCACUUCCUCGGGAUCGUGAGUCCUUCUUCAUGCGACGAUCCACCACAAGCUUCCCUUUGCCACCCUUGACCCUCACGCCCUUCUUCGCCACAACGAGCUCCCGCUUGGGACGCUUAUUGGUCGUCGCCGCCGCUUUCUUGUAAACCUUGUCCAUCAUCCUGUUCUUGGACUUGUUCGAGAUGUCCGGCUGAUCGGCAAUCGCCGCCGCUUUGCUCCGUGCUUGCUCCAUUUUCUUCAUCACCCUCCGCUUCUUGCGAGCCUUGGCCUCAGCAACCUUCUUCACGGGCCUCGCGUCUAUCGCUCUAAACUGAGCCCUCAUCGCCUGGACCUCUUCCUUGGUGAAUGCCGCUUCUCGUCGUCCGCGAACCAUUCCGGAAGCCCCUCGUCGUCGAACAUGUACUUGUUGUACGCGUCGUCGAUGAUCCUGUCUCUGUCCUUCUUCCGCAGCAUCUUCUUGGCGUAAGUGAGGAUCUCUGCCUUGGCGUCGCUGUCGUAGUCCUCCUCUUCGUCCGAGGAAGAGUCGGACGAACCACUCGGCUCGGCUGCUACAACCUCAAAGUCUUCCCGUGCUCUCUUGAGCUUUCCUGGCGCAACCGUGACAUCGCUCGGAGGAGCGUCCUUGGCAGUCUUUGGUCCCUUGGUAUCCGUCUCCGGGGUUUGAUCUAAACCGGCGAAGAUGUCUUGACUGAACCAUUGCUGUGCAAUCUGUUCCUUCGAGAGCUUGGCCUUGGGAAGCGACACGACGAGAGGAUUGGCCUCCUCCUCCUCCUCUUCUUCUACUUCGUUUUCUUCUUCCUCAGAAGCAUUCUCUUCCACGUCCUCCUAAGGAUAUUGUCAGCUGCUUGCAAGUUCUAACACUUUCAUUUGGCUUACCUCCCACAGCUUUUCGUCUCCUGCAUUAGCCAUUCUUGCGCGUUUCCGCCGUGCAGUGUUGCUUUCAGUCUUGCUCCGGUAGCGUUCGUAUGCACGAUCGAGGAAAGAUUCCAGCUCGUCGUUGUAUCUGCGAGAGAUUACGUUAACACUUCCAAGGCGUAGUUCUUACCUUUCGCGCUCGACGUCAGAAUCCACAUCAUUGUCUUCGUCAUCCUUCUGCUCCAUAUCCUGCUUACUCGUUUCAUCCUUCACAUUGUCAUCGCUGUCUAACAUGUCGUCAUCCGCACCUUCGACCCGAUCCAAGCUUUUCUUCGCCUGGAAAAAUGUAUCCAACAGGAGCUCAUAGGCACUGACGAGAAAGCGGACAAACAUACCUUGAUUGAGCCCAAAGAGAACAGAUCCCGCUCGCCAUAAGUGUCUCCCAAGACAUCGACUUGCAUCCCUGUUCUAUUUCGUGCGUUUAGCUGCAGUGUUGUGGCCCAUCAACAUACACCACCAACAAAAGAUAGACAAACAAUAUGUACCUUCUGUUUACGCUUGGCAGCCUUCUUCUUCGCCUGCUUGCUUUUCGAAUCCAUUAGAGACUUGAGCUCCUCCAUUUUCUUUAGCAUAUCCUCGUCUUCAUCUUCUUCUUUUUCGUCGUCAUCCUUUUCAGGAGCCCUAUCACCCUCUGUUUCCUCCGAAGCUGACGUUUUCGAAAGAGCUUUUCGUACAUGCAGGCACCACCUGAGAGAACCAAAUGAGCAUGAAAGACAACAGCCACGAGAAGUAAAACUUACUUCAACAGUUGCUUGAAUUCUUUCUUCCCCAGAACUCUAAGGUCUUCGCAUAAUGCCUUUAUCUACAGGACAAAGUCCUCCCAAUCAAAACAAGAAAACGAGGAAUAGAUAUGAACGUACCUCGUCAGUUGUUUCAGCGUGGUCUUUGAUUGGCGAACUUUUGGGAUCCUCAAACGAAAUAGACGUGAUGCUACCAAGAAGCUCUAGAGGUUUUUCGGACCAGACGAAGUCUGCUGCCGUGCAGUCUUUACGAAAGGUAGUGUUAGCAUCAUCGUAUCUGCAGGAAAAGAAAAACAUAAAACCAAGAGUCUAUUUGACGUGAGAACCCACCCCUCGCGGUGACGUUUCUGUUUACUACUACGAAGAACGUCGAUCACCUACACAAUUUACUCGGCUUUAGCGCAAGCACCUUGUUUACAAUACCAAAACCCACCUUUGGGGGCUGAGGAAUCUCUUCAAAUAAAAAGCGAGGGUCCAAGUUACGCGGAUCGAUUUUCACGGGUGCCAGAUACUUGAGACCAACCACGUAUAUUUCAGCCGAUGUCGAACGACUUGCUAUGGGUUUCGUGACUUCCACCUUGGCAAACAGCUACCAAACGAUACAAGAGGCAAUGAAUUAUCACUCAAAAAACCAUGACAAACAUACCUGUUCAAAUGCAUACUUCAGCGCGUUAUAAUCUUGGGAUCGAAAAACCUGCAAGAAAAAACCAAUUUUGGGAAUCAGAGAAGAAGGAAAAAUUCAAAAGUGGAGGAAGAAAAGGAAUUCCUCGUACCUUGGUGACAAACGUUCCUUUGGGAGCCAGAAACUUGGUAGCCAACUUCAAAGAAUCCAGGACAAGAGACGACUGCGUCAUGGCUUCUUUGGCCCAGGCACCUCCCACAUUGGGGGAGCCAUCGUGGAGCACAACAUCGACCAUCCUCAACCCAUUCUGGUCGAGAAUCUUCCCAAUAUCGGACGCGCAUUUUGGAGUGGUGAUAUCGCCCUGGAGCGACAGCGCCCCUCUCACGGGGCGAAUCGGCACCAGAUCCACGCCGAUUAUCACAGACCUCACGGGCAUCUUCUCCACGGCCACCUGCAUCCAUCCCCCGGGCGCCGCGCACAAAUCCAGCACCGAGUGCGCCGAGCUGAGGAAGCCAUACUUGCGAUCGAGCUGCACGAGCUUGAAUGCGGCACGGGAGCGGUAGCCCUGCUCCUUGGCGAGGUAGUAGAAGCGAUCCAAGCGGUGCUUCCCCUUCUUCGCCUUCCCCAUCCCUGCAAGACCUAAAACCCUACGAGGAACCCUAAAACCCCACUUUAGGUUUACAAUAAAUAUUCUGGUGGAUAUUCGAGCACUUUUAUAAUGCGUACAUUCAUAAAGUCUUCCCUUCUUGGGUGAUAUACGAGGUAGUUACCUUAAGCAUGCAUCGCGUGGGGAUGGGGACGCCCACGCGAUGCAUGCAGGCAUUCCCCCUUUAUAAACAGAUGCAGAACUUUGUAUUGUCAAGCAUAAUAUUUCUGGUUUCAGUUCAAGGAGAAUGGCCAAAGUUCUUCUUUCCACCCUCCUCUUUGGCCUGCUGCUCUUCGUAGCUGAUGCAUCUCGCAACACUCAGCGUACGUGCAAACACUUCCGCAUUCGUGCAAAUCGUUUCUCUAACCUGCAGAAUGGUUCUAGUGACUGGCAGGGAGAGCGAUGUGACUUACGUCGUCGAGGGGCCUCGUGAAGGUAACGAGGCUGCUGAUCUCAAUGUUGUCAUCCGGAACACCCCGAAACACGGUAACUUAGAUCACGUUAUGAUCUUCCUUGUAGCUGUCCUUGUGACAUUGAUUAUGCCACUGCUUUUCCGUUUUUGAUGAUUGCAGGCCUCCAAGAUACAUACUGCUGCCUGAGGAACGGCUUUGGAUGUCUUCAGGAGUGCGACUCCAACAUCAAUUACUACUGCUGCCUGAAGAAUGGAUUCGGAUGCCUACAGCUCUGCGAGCCCAACGUUAAUUAUUUCUGCUGCCUCAAGGAUGGAUUUGGCAGCUGCCAGCAGCUCUGCGACUCAUCCAAGGAACACUACUGCUGCAAAAAGAACGGCUUUGGGACCUGCACUGGAAUGUGCCCCAAAACCGUGAACCUGAUGAAGUGAUCCGCGUUUGAUGAAAAGUGUAUGCAACAUCUGGAAUCAAAAGCUUGUAAUUGCUGAUACUCUUUACAAUUUUUUUACGCUAGACAUUUACAUCUGGAACCUGAUACAACUGAGUUUGUAAGUUCCCUUUUAGCAUAGCUUGCCAUGCCACUGCUGCUGGAUCGUCCAUUGGGAGACAAGUAGCACUGGAGGCGUUACAAUCCCCUUUGAACAAGGUCUCAGCGCCUCAUUUAAGUAAAUUGUAAGAAAAAAAAACUUGGAAGCUGUUAUAGUCCCAUGUGCUCCACACGUGAAAGGUUCUAAGAAUAUCUUAUCUUAUGAAUAAUUGUUUAAACUUGAGCUUUAGCUCGAUUCAUGAGAUCGUCCCAACACACCUAGGAAAGAACGGUGCGCUUUCUUGUCAUGUCUUCCAAUUCCAUGCUGAUAUUCAUCGCCACCUUUGGUUUCUCAAUUGUCUAGCGCAUAAUGCAUCGUCUCAAUGACACUGGAAACGCCAUUGUCCUCCAAGUGUUGGAUUGUUCACCCACCAAUAGGGAACGUAGGAGCAAACCUCGCAAGGGUCUCAGUUCUACUUGUCAGUCUUCCUCCCAAUGGACGCCAUGGAACUAUCCAGCAGCGGUGGCAUGGCGAGCUACGCGAAAACCCGUCCGAAAAGGUGCGUACGGCGACCUAGUGCUGAGCGACGUAGAUGAAAGCUUUGUGUGGUCGACCAACAAGGGCCUCGAGAGCUCUGGAAAUCUCGUAAUCCGGAGCAAAACUGGAGCUUUGCUGUGGCAGAGCUUUGAUCAUCCCGGUGAUGCUAUGCUCCCUGCCAGCCUCUAAAACCAGGGAUGAAGUUAGUAGCCAGCAUCUCUAACGAGAAGAAAGAGCGAGGGUACUUCUCACUCGAGGUAAGCCGCUUCUUGGUCGCUUUGAACUCCAGUAUGUUGGGAUCUUUUGGAGAGCUCUGGAGCUCCGACGAGGAAGAAGAAGAGAUAUCGUUUCUCUUCCUCAUCAAUAGCAGCUUGGAAAUCCACGGGACGAAAGGUGUUAUGUGGUCCACUCCAACGAUCGGUGCUUACUGGUCAAUCCGGAUACCAGUUACUCAAGAUCUACUCCAAUGGAGAGCUCCAGUUUACCUCGAGAUCAUUCAGCAGCAGCAACAGCACGAAGAGCAUCGACUUAAAACCCGCAGUUAUUCGGGAACAGCUUGCUUACUCGAACCUGUGGGAUCUCGUUCCAGACAGCUGACGGAUGCCUCUGUCCGGAGCUCAAGAACGACACCAGGGGAUCGUCAUCCAUGGAGUACGUUUCUUCCGGGGACAAGGAGAGGUGCAAGCCCGAAAACGAACCUGGAGGAACCUGGAAGAACCUGCGAGAACUCGCAACAUUACUACAUGCUCGAAGCCACAGUACGAUACUUCUACAAACCUCUAGAUUUAUCCAGUGCGCUCCACAACGUCACUCCAGCAGCAUGCAUGGCCAUGUGUAUCAAAAACUGUUCGUGCAAAGUAGUGCUAAGCCAGGAGAAAACGAGUACCUGUUUCCAGAUGAAUGAAGUUUUUGCUCUGAACAGAACUCGCAACGUCGCCGAUCAAGCUUCGCUGUUUUCGAUCAAGUUGUACCAAGCUGGAGAUCUUCCAAAGCUCUCAGCACCAGGCAGCUCGCAGAACAAAGAAGCCAAGCAACAGAAAAAGGCAAAGCCAGCCAUCGUCGGGGCUUUCUCUGUGGCAACCAUGGCUAUAAUCAUCAUCGCAAUGGUGAUCUGGAAGAAACUGAUAAACUCGUACCUCAAACACUACAAACCAUCGUUUCCAUCCGGUGCUAUGGACGUGGUGCGCGUGCGUCUUCACGUACCCGGAGCUCCACACUCCUUCAGUAAGAAAAUCGCUUUGGCACGGCAGGAUGGUAGAGCAAGGAGAUCUAAGCGAUGUCAUGACCAUGAUCCGAGGAACACCCGGAUACAUGAGAUGAGAGUGAGCGACAAACUGGACGUCUACAGCUUUGGGAUCCUUGUGCUGCAAAUGGCAACUGGACUACAAGCUUUCUGUCUUGCGGGAGGCAAAGUUCCUGGCGGCAUGGGCGUUUGAGAAGCUUCGAUCUGGGAAGUUAAUGGAGAUGUUAGAAGAGAAGAGGGCCCGGCACGAAAUGGAGGCUACCUCUAAGGCCGAGAAGCUGCUUCGCAUUGGAAUGUGGUGCAUCCAGCCGGAUCCCAGGGGCGCUCUGCAAUGGCUCAAGUCGUCAAAAUGUUGCAAGGAGUGCCCUAAAUGAAUUCUUUAUUAUUUAAAACCUUUAAGGAGUUAAAACAUUUAGUUUAAUUUAGUUUAAUUUGUUAUAUUUUAGUUUAGUUAAGCAAAAUAAAAAACUUUUAAUUGGAAUAUUUGCCCAAUGUUUUUCUUUUAAUAUGUAUAAUACAUAAAUAAUAUUACUAAAACAUUGUUAUUGUUUAAAUGUCAGUUAUGAAAACCACUUUAGAAUCAUGGUUUUUCUUAGAUCUUAUUAAAGAAGUAGGAAGAUAAAAUAAUUAUUACUCAGUGUUUUUAAAAAAUGGUAAAUCCUUAAAUAUGACAAUAUCAUUUUUAAAUGCACAACCAAAUAAUAGAUGGAAUAUCUUUCCUGAUUUUAGUAUAAUAUAUAAAGGCUUUGAUUUACAAGUAGAAUUUACAAAUAUGAUGGUUGGUUUUGUUAUGGAUGAUUUUGUAAAAUUUGGAUCCACAGAAUAUAUCAAUGGACAAUUUACCAAAUCAUAUCAGUUUGAUUCAGAUUAUAUUUUUCCACAUAAAGUAAAACGUACUCACAACCACAUAAAAACGAUUUCAAUAUUUAUAAGGUCUGCAUAAGAAAUGGACCACACCAUUCUGUCUUUUCUACAUCAUCAAAUGGGAACUUUCUACAAUCUCUAAAUGGAAUAUUCACGCUUUACCUAGUUUUAUAUACAAAGAGUGUAAUUGUUUGGAGCACUCACACAAAUAGCAAUGCUUUCUAAGGUUGCAAAAAGAUGGAAAUAUGGUAAUCUAUGAUGAAAAUUACACGGUUGUUUGGUCAUACAGCAUUUACUGGAAAGACAAAUGGAUUACUAGCGCAUUAUGUGUUGAUAACUCUGGACGUGUUAUAGUAUGCAACACUGUAGAGCAAACUUGUAUAUGCCCAUCACGAAGAUGAGAAUUUAAAAUCUAGCAUUCACUCUACACAAAUAUGAGACAAACGGACAUAAGUUGAUGCUCCAGAAGCUCUUGCGAUGGGGCCAAACGAUUAUUGCCAUGAGUUUUACAAGCCCCAAGCAGCGUCAUGUAGGCAAUGGAGCCCGGCUCGAUUGGCAUGCUAUCGAUCACCUCUUUGGCCUCAUCAAGCCGGCCAGUUCACCCAAGCAAAUCGAUCACACACAUGAAAUGCUCCAAGUUUGGAGGUAUGUGAUGAUCGAGCACAAGAGACUGAAAACUAUGCUUACCACUCUCAAAGAGCCGGGCGUGGCUACAUGGAGAGAGAACACUGACAAUCGUAACUUUGUCCGGCUCAAGCCCCUCGUGCUUCAUCCUCCAGAAGAAAUCAAAAGUUUCAUCAAAAUGACCGUUAUUUGCAUAUGCCGAGAUGAUUCCAUUCCAUGAAACCACGUCCUGCCCUGUCUUUGCCUCAAAAGCCAACGUUGCCCCUUCAAGGUAUCCACACUAAGCAUUUGGUGUUGAGUAGAAAACUAAGCUGGAAGAAGAAUCUAAAUGGAAACAAUGAAUUUGUCUCUUGAGACUUCCUGUAAAUUAGCCAAGUGCUAGUGAAAAAAUCAAAGUAGAAAGAUUCAAGGAAAUGGAGAAAUCCUUGUCCAAACGCCAAAUUCAUACUCAAGAUUGAGAAAUUGUGCUUGCAUAAUGUCUGUCAACCUCAGCUUCCUGAUUCAAUUGUGAACCAUGUGACAAUUGGAUGUCUAGUGUGAAUGAAAGUGUGAUGGGUCAGCUCAGUGCUUGGAAAGUUCUUCAUUUCAACCAUCAGAUCAAAACUGAAUCUAUCUCCCGAGAACAAAAAAUUGAUCAUAAAUGGGUUAGCAAUCUAAGUUUUUAAACUGACAAAGGACAGCAUUCGACGAAACAUCUAGUCCCAAGAUAAUAUUCUAGAACCCUAAAACGCAUCAUGGUUCUAUGCGCGUAGAUGCUGCGGCGACACUACUCCGAAAAUGCCGAUCUCCCACGGAGGCGCGGAUUCUCCACUCGCAGAUCGCCAGGGCGGGCCUGGAUCGCAACACAUUCGUCGCGAAUCUUGUCAUUCACAUGUACAGCGUCUGCGGCGGCCUGCGCGAUGCCGAGAACGUCUUCCACAGCGGCGCAGCCCGCCGCAACGUCUACUCGUGGACGAUCUUGCUUCGAGCAUUUGCCCAGACAGAGGAUCUUGCCAGAGCCAGGGACGUUUUCACGCGAAUGGCUCAUCGCGAUGUGGUCUCCUGGAAUGCGCUGAUUGCCGGGUACGCCGGCGCUGGGAAUCUCUCGCGGUCGCAGGAGCUCUUCGAUUCCAUGCCGGAGAGAGAUCUUGUGUCCUGGAACACGAUCAUCGCGGCGUAUGCCCAGAAUGGGCAUUGCAGAGAGGCGCUGGGAUUUUUCCGGGGCUUGGAUCUCCAGGGCGUGGCGCCGGAUUCCAUCAGCUUCGUGAGCGUUCUCGAUGCCAUUGCCGGGAUCGAAGAGCUGGAUAGAGAUCUGGCAAGGGCGAUUGCCAUGGAAGCAAUCCGCCUGGGAAUUCACACCCAGAUCGCUGUCGGGACGGCGCUCGUUGUGGUUUAUGGAAAGAUUGGCGAGGCCGAGAGCGCGGAGCAUUUCUUUGAUCGGAUCAUUGGCAGGAAUGCGAUAUGCUGGAACGCCAUGCUGUCCGCGUAUGCCCAAUCAGGGAAUCUUUGCAAAGCGCGAGAGUUCUUCGACCGAAUGCCUUGCGUUGAUGUGAUCUCCUGGACGACGAUAAUUGAUGCCACAUCUCGCCAUGAACGGCUCCAGGAUGCAAAGGAUCUCUUUGAUUGCAUCAAACAAAGAGAUUUGGCUGUCUGGAACGCUCUACUUUCAGCAUUUGCCCAAAAGGGGCAUUUUUUUGAGUCUAUAGAUUUGUAUGAAAGACUCCCAGCCCACGAUCUUCGUUCAAGAACAUCACUGCUCAUAGCUUACGCUUCGAAAGGUGACAUGGUUUCGUUGCAGGAGAUAUUUCAUCAAACAAGCCACAAGGAUGCCACUCUCUGGAACGCGAUGAUCACAGCACUUGCCCUGCUUGGGCAUAUGCUAGAAGCUCUAGACCUUUUCGAUUCAAUGGACGUUCUCAAGAACAAACUCACGUACAUCAUCGCCAUCGACGCCUGCGGCAGCCUUGGCGAUCCUGAUCGAUGCGAGAGGAUCUUCCACUUGAGCCAAGCCUGCGGAUCCUUGCGUAGCGAUCACGGAGUAUCGUGCUCCUUGAUCAAGAUGUUUGGGAGAUCCGGUGCGGUGGAGAGGGCCGAGCUCGUCUUCGAGCAGAAGAAGCGGCGGAGAGAGCUCUGGAACGCCAUGAUCGCGACGUAUGCUCACAAUGGAUGCCUCGACGAAGCGAUGCUCCUUUUCAAGACAAUGCCCCGGAGAGAUCUUUCCUCGUGGAGCAUCGUCGCUAGAGCUCAAGCCCAGCAGGGACACUUCGAUCAAGCACUGUUCUUGCUCGAGAUCUCGCCAGAGAUCACUAUCGCGGCAUGCAACGCGCUGAUCACCGCGUAUCUCCAGAGAGGCCACCUCGCUAGCGCGAGGCGGGUAUUCGAUCGGAUGGAGCAGCGAGACACGAGUUCGUGGAGCUCGAUCAUCGCGGCCUAUGCCCAGCUCGGUCACUGCGAGGAAUCACUCGCGCUGUUCUGGCAGAUCGACACAACACCCGACCGCGCGACGUUCCUCGCAGCUCUCGAUGCGUGCUCGGGCCUCUCGAGCCUCUCCCACUGCCGCCAAGUUCACGCAGCGGCGGAUCACACUGGCUGGAUCUCCGAUCUCGCCGUGGCGACUUCACUGGUGGCGAGCUAUGGAAAAUGCAAGGGAGUGGAGGAAUCCAAGGCAGUGUUUGAUCGCAUCGAGCACCCAUCCACUGUCUCGUGGAACUCUUUGCUAAGAUCAUAUGCGCAAAACGGGCAUCUCGCCAAGGCCGCGAGUUUCCUCGAGGAAACCAUUCCUUCUCCAGACGUGGUCUCGUUUAACACGCUCGCGGCGGCUUAUAUCCAGCACGGGAGAGUGAACGAGGCUCUGGAGAUUCUCACGAAAAGGAUGCCCUGCUGGGACAGCUUCUCGCACAACACAGCUAUGGCGGCGCAUGCCCAAGCCGGGCAUAUCCACAAAGCAAAGGAAAUAUUUGAGAAAAUGGAGGAGCCAAGCACGGUCUCGUGGAACACCUUGAUUUGUAUCUUCGUCCAAGCCGGGGAAUGCGAGAGUGCUGCUCGGCUCUUUCACCAAAUGGAUCUGGAAGGCGCCCAGGCGGACAAGGUGAGUUUCUUGGCUGUUCUUGACGCCCUUGGGAGGAUCACCGCUCUCCAAAAGGGAAAGCUUGUGCAUGGUGAGCUCCAUCACUCUAGGUUUCAAUCCGACGUGAUAACAAGCAAUGCCGUUGUCAACUUUUAUGGGAGGUGUGGAUACCUUCAAGGGGCAAAGGUGGCGUUUGAGGCAAUGACAAGGCAGGACGUGGUUUCAUGGAAUGGAAUCAUCUCGGUGUAUGCAAACAACGGGCAUUUUGAGGAAACUUUUGAUCUCUUCUGGAGGAUGAAGCUCGAGGGGCUUGAUCCGGACGAAGUCACGUUUGUCAGUGUUCUCUCUGCAUGUAGCCAUGCCGGGCUCUUUGAGAGUGGUAAGUAUAGUUUCCAGUCUCUUGUGCUCGAUCAUCACAUAGCUCCAAACUUGGAGCAUUUCAUGUGUGUGAUCGAUUUGCUUGGGCGAACUGGCCGGCUUGACGAGGCCCAAGAGGUGAUCGAUAGCAUGCCAAUCGAGCCGGGCUCCAUUGCCUACAUGACGCUGCUUGGAGCUUGUAAAACUCAUGGCAAUAAUCGGCUUGGAAACAUGGCUGCUCCAAGCGCCAUCACAAGAGCUUCUGGAGCAUCAACUUAUGUCCUUCUAUCUCAUAUUUGUGUAGAGUGAAUGCUAGAUUUUAAAUUCUCAUCUUGGUGAUUGCCAUAUACAAGUUUGCUCUACAGUGUUGUAUACUACAACAUGUCCAGAGUUAUCAACACAUAAUGCACUAGUAAUCCAUUUGUCUUUCCAGUAAAUGCUGUCUGACCAAACAACUGUGUAAUUUUCAUCAUAGAUUACCAUAUUUCCAUCUUUUUGCAACCUUAGAAAGCUAUUUGUGUGAGUGCUCCAAACAAUUAUACUCUUUGUAGAUUGCAGUCCUGAAUAAACCAUUUAAAGAUUGCAGAAAGUUCCCAUUUGAUAAUGUAGAAAAGACAGAAUGGUGUGGUUCAUUUCUUAUGCAUACCUUAUAAAUAUUGCAAUCGUUUUUAUAUGGUUUUGUAGGGUGAAAAUAAGCAAAUUUAAUCUGAAUCAAGCUGAUACGAUAUGCUAAACCGUCCAUUCAUAUAUUCUGCUGAUAAUAUCUGUAAAUUCUACUUGUAAAUCAAAGCCUUUAUAUUUUAUCUACUAUUUGAUUGUGCAUUUAAUAAUGAUAUUGUCAUUCUUAAGGAUUUACCAUUUUUUGAAAACACUACUUUAGAAAGUGAAAAUCCUGAGUAAUAAUUAUCUUUUCUUCCUACGUCUUUAAUAAGAUCUAAAAGAAAACCCAUGAUUCUAUGUUUAAAACUGGUUAGUUUGUUAUAUUUUGGUUUAGUUAAGUAAAAUUAAAAUAGUUUAAUUUUUAUUUAUUUAUAAAUUCUUUAAUUUUAAAAUGUAAAACCUUUUACAAGCGUUUGAGAUGAAUAUUUAAUAUGCCCAAAUCUUUAUUUCUCUUAAUUUCUAUAUUAUUUCAAAAACAUUGUUAAACUUUAAGUGCCAUUUACGAAAAUCCAAAUUCUAUAUCACUAAGCCUGGAUCUAAAUAAUAAAUAAUAUCCUCGAAGAAUCUUAGGGCACUUGCAUCGGGCGCUGCUUUGGAUCCGGUUGGAUGCACCACACUCCAAUGCGAAGCAGCUUCUCGGCCUUAGAGGUAGCCUCCAUUUCUUGCCAGACCGAAGCUUCUCAAACCGCCAGGAACUUUGGGCUCCUCCCGCAAGACACACAGGUAUGGAAAGCGCCACUUCCAGCACAAGGAUCCCAAAGCUGUAGAUGUCCAGUUUGUCUCUCACUCUCAUCUGCAACCAUUCCGGAGCCAUGUAUCCGGGUGUUCCUCAGAUCAUUGUCAUGACAUCGCUUAGAUCUCCUUGCUCUACCAUCCUCGACAGUCCAAACUCUGCUAUCUUGACACCAAAGUUUUCGUCCAGGAGUAGGUUUUGCGGCUUGAUGUCCAAGUGCAGGACUCUAGUGCUGCAUUCCUCGUGGAGGUAGCACAUCCCUCGAGCAAUCUCCUCGACUAUCUUGAAUCUCGUGUCCCAGUUGAGCUCUUCCCGCGGCUUGUAGAUCCACUUGUCUAGCGAUCCGUUUGCUACGUACUCGUAAAUCAGGAAGUAGUGUGAUUCCUGGGAAAAAAAGCCUUUGAGUCUUACAAGGUUCUUGUGAUGGAUGAUUCCGAUCGCUCUCACCUCCGCCUUGAACUGUUUGUAUCCUUGGCUCGAGAAGCUCUCCAGCCGUUUCACGGCAACGGAGAGUAUCCCUUCGAAAACCGUGCCAACGCCUCCACUUGCGAUUUUCUCACUGAAGGCUUUGGUUGCAGUGAGGAGCUCCGGGUAAUUAAAGACGCGCAUCAACGAUGGUUUGUAGUGUUUGAGGUACGAGUUUAUCUGUUUCUUCCAGAUCACCAUUGCGAUGAUGAUUAUAGCCAUGGUCGCCACAGAGAAAACCGCGACGAUGGCUGGCUUUGCCUGUUUUUGGUAUUUGGCGACUUUGUGAGUUGCCUGGUGUUGAGAGCUUCGGAAGAUCUCCAGCUUGGUACAACUUGAUCGAAAACAGCAAAGCUUGAUCGACGACGUUGCGAGUUUUGUUCAGAGAAAAAACUUCGGUCAUCUGGAAACAGGUAGUCGUUUCUCCUGGCUUAGCAUCCCUUUGCACGAACAGUUUUUGACACACAGGGCCAUGCACGCUGCUGGAGUGACGUUGUGGAGCGCACUGGAUAAAUCUAGAGGUUUGUAGAAGUAUCGUCCUUUGGCUUCGAGCAUGUAGUAAUGUUGCGAGUUCUCGCAGGUUCUUACAGGUGCUUGCAUCCCUCCUUGUCCCCGGAAGAAACGUACUUCGUGAACGAUGCAGAGGCAUCCUUCAGCUGUCUCGAACGAGAUCCCACAGGUUCGAGUAAGCGAGCUUUUCCCGAAGAAGAGCGGGUUUAAGUUGAUGCUCUUCGUGCUGUUGCCGGUGCUGAAUGAUCUCGAGGUAAACCGGGGCUCUCCAUUCGAGUAGAUCUUGAGGAACUGGUACCCUGCUUGAUCAGUAACACCACCGAUCGUUGGAGUGGACCACAUAACACCUUUCGUCCCGUGGAUUUCCAAGCUGCUAUUGACGAGGAAGAGAAAUGAUAUCUCUUCUUCUUCCUCAUCGAAAAGAUCUCCAGACCUCUCCAAAAGAUCCUCAACAUACUGGAGUUCAAAGCGACCGAGAAGCGGCUACCUCCAGUGAGAAGUACUCUGGCUCUUUGUUCUCCUUAGAGAUGCUGGCUACUAACUUCAUCCCAGGGAGCACAGCAUCACAGACCACCUGCGAGAACCAAAUGAGCAUGAAAGACAACAGCCACGAGAAGUAAAACUUACUUCAAAAGUUGCUUGAAUUCUUUCUUCCCCAGAACUCUAAGAUCUUCGCAUAAUGCCUUUAUCUACAGGAAAAAGUCCUCCCAAUCAAAACAAGCAAACGAGGAAUAGAUAUGAACGUACCUCGUCAGAUGUUUCAGCGUGGUCUUUGAUUGGCGAACUUUUCGGAUCAUCAAACGAAAUAGACGUGAUGCUACCAAGAAGCUCUAGAGGUUUUUCGGACCAGACGAAGUCUGCUGCCGUGCAGUCUUUACGAAAGGUAGUGUUAGCGUCAUCGUAUCUGCAGGAAAAGAAAAACAUAAAAACAAGAGUCUAUUUGACGUGAGAACCCACCCCUCGCGGUGACGUUUCUGUUUACUACUACGAAGAACGUCGAUCACCUACACAAUUUACUCGGCUUUAGCGCAAGCACCUUGUUUACAAUAACAAAACCCACCUUUGGGGGCUGAGGAAUCUCUUCAAAUAAAAAGCGAGGGUCCAAGUUACGCGGAUCGAUUUUCACGGGUGCCAGAUACUUGAGACCAACCACGUAUAUUUCAGCUGAUGUCGAACGACUUGCUACUUCCACCUUGGCAAACAGCUACCAAACGAUACAAGAGGCAAUGAAAUAUCACUCAAAAAACCAUGACAAACAUACCUGUUCAAAUGCAUACUUCAGCGCGUUAUAAUCUUGGGAUCGAAAAACCUGCAAGAAAAAACCAAUUUUGGGAAUCAGAGAAGGAGGAAAAAUUCAAAAAUGGAGGAAGAAAAGGAAUUCUUCGUACCUUGGUGACAAACGUUCCUUUGGGAGCCAGAAACUUGGUAGCCAACUUCAAAGAAUCCAGGACAAGAGACGACUGCGUCAUGGCUUCUUUGGCCCAGGCACCUCCCACAUUGGGGGAGCCAUCGUGGAGCACAACAUCGACCAUUCUCAACCCAUUCUGGUCGAGAAUCUUCCCAAUAUCCGACGCGCAUUUUGGAGUGGUGAUAUCGCCCUGGAGCGCUCUCACGGGGCGAAUCGGCACCAGAUCCACGCCGAUUACCACAGACCUCACGCGGCCACCUGCAUCCAUCCCCCGGGCGCCGCGCACAAAUCCAGCAGCGAGUGCGCCGAGCUGAGGAAGCCAUACUUGCGAUCGAGCUGCACGAGCUUGAAUGCGGCACGAGAGCGGUAGCCCUGCUCCUUGGCGAGGUAGUAGAAGCGAUCCAGCCGGUGCUUCCCCUUUUUCGCCUUCCCCAUCCCUGCAAGACCUAAAACCCUACGACGAACCCUAAAACCCCACUUUAGGUUUACAAGAAAUAUUCUGGUGGAUAUUCGAGCGCUUUUAAAAUGCGUCAGGAUACGAACAUUCAUAAAGUCUUCCCUUCUUGGGUGUAAUGAUGCCAGAGCUCAUAGAAACCUCCAUAUGAUCGUUGUUGCUGCCCCUUGAAAGCAGAAAACAAGAGCGCUUCCAAUCUAGCUGGCGUUGCUGCUGCUGCUGCUGCUUGGGUCGACCAGCAUUUCCAUUCCAAAGAAGAACCUAAAACCCCCUAGAGAAGAGGGUAUCCCAAAGUCCCCCAAUUCAGAGGAGCAAAGCAAAAGGAGAAAUACACACUAGUUAGCAUUGGACACAAAGGAAAAUAGUUCCAAUCACUUUAACUUGGACCACACAGGACAGAGAAGUGCCAUGUAAUCUGCCACAAAUACCCUCUUCUCUCAAAUCUAGGGCCUCUACGCAAUACUCCAAACUUCCAUCCCUAGAUUAUACAAUCCCCAAGUUUUCACACAAGAUCACUCAAUCAAUCAAACAAAACAUCUUUCGAUAACGCGAAACUUGGCAUCUUGUUUGACCAACUUAGAAUGGAUGGAUGCAUUAUUCAUCCCUAGUGUGUUUGUUUGCCUGUCAACCUUUUUGUAGGGUCUGGAAAGUUGUUGUUGUGGUGGUAGUUUUUGUCUUUGAUCUUGUCCUGUGUGGUCCAAGUUAAAGUGAUUGGAAGUAAUGUUGUGUGGUAGCAAGUCGGACGGGAGUGGAAAGAGAGAAGUGCCAUGUAAUCUGCCACAUCAUUGCCAGCAAGGUGGAGAGAGACUGUUUAACAGGAGGCAUGCAUCGCAUGCGGGCAUUCCCCCUUUAUAAACAGAUGCAAAACCUCGCAUUGUCAAGCAUAAUAUUUCUCAAGAAUGGCCAAAGUUCUUCUCUCCGCCCUCCUCUUUGGCCUGCUGCUCUUCGUAGCGGAUGCAUCUCGCAACACUCAGCGUACGUGCAAACACUUCCGCAUUCUUGCAAAUCCUUUCUCUAACCUGCAGAAUGGUUCUAGUGACUGGCAGGGAGAGCGAUGUGACUUAUGUCGUCGAGGGGCCUCGUGAUGGUAACGAGGCUGCUGAUCUCAAUGUUGUCAUCCAGAGCACCCCGAAUCACGGUAACUCUUGUUGUGACCACGAGCUGUCCUUGUGAUGUUGAUUAUGCCACUGCUUCUCCGCUUUUCAUGCUUGCAGGCCUCCAAGAUACAUUCUGCUGCCUGAGCAACGCCUUUGGAUGUCUUCAGAACUGCGACUCCAACAUCAAAUACUACUGCUGCUUGAAGAAUGGAUUCGGGAGCUGCCUACAGCUCUGCGACUCGUCCAAGGAACACUACUGCUGCAAAAAGAACGGCUUUGAGGUCUGCGUUGGAAUGUGCCCCAAAACCGUGGACCUGAUGAAGUGAUCCGCGUUUGAUGAAAAGUAUAUGCAACAUCUGGAAUCAAAAGCUUAUGAUUGCUGAUACUCUUUACAAUUUUUUAUCUAGACAUUUACGUUUUUCAACUGAGUUUGUAAGUUCCCUUUUAGCAUAGCUUGCCAUGCCACUGCUGCUGGAUCGUCCAUUGGGAGACAAGUAGAACUGGAGGCGUUACAAUCCCCUUUGAACAAGGUCUCAGCGCCUCAUUUAAGUAAAUUGUAAGAAAAAAAAACUUGGAAGCUGUUAUAGUCCCAUGCACGUGAAAGGUUCUAAGAAUAUCUUAUUUUAUGAAUAAUUGUUUAAACUUGAGCCUUAGCUCGAUUCAGAAGAUCGUCCCAACACACCUACGAAAGAACGGUGCGCUUUCUUGUCAUGUCUUCCAAUUCCAUGCUGAUAUUCAUCGCCACCUUUGGUUUCUCAAUUGUCUAGUGCAUAAUGCAUCGUCUCAAUGACACUACAAGCGCCAUUGUCCUCCAAGCUCGAAUUAUACUUGGCUUUACCACCCCUAGGAGCAAACCUCGCAAGAGUCUCAGUUCUACUUGUCAGUUUUCCUCCCAAUGGACGCCAUGGAACUAUCCAACAGCGGUGGCAUGGCGAGCUACGCGAAAACCUGUCCGGAAAGGAGCGUACCGCGACCUAGUGCUGAGCGACGUAGAUGAAAUUUUUUUGUGGUCGACCAACACGGGCCUCGAGAGCUCUGGAAAUCUCGUAAUCCGGAGCAAAACUGGAGCUUUGCUGUGGCAGAGCUUUGGUCAUCCCGGUGAUGCUAUGCUCCCUGCCAGCCUCUAAAACCAGGGAUGAAGUUAGUAGCCAGCAUCUCUAACGAGAACAAAGAGCGAGGGUACUUCUCACUCGGGUAAGCUGCUUCUUGGUCGCUUUGAACUCCAGUAUGUUGGGAUAUUUUGGAGAGCUCUGGAGCUCCGACGAGGAAGAAGAAGAGAUAUCGUUUCUCUUCCUCGUCAAUAGCAGCUUGGAAAUCCACGGGACGAAAGGUGUUAUGUGGUCCACUCCAACGAUCGGUGAUGUUACUGGUCAAUACGGAUACCAGUUACUCAAGAUCUACUCGAAUGGAGAGCUCCAUUUUACCUCGAGAUCAUUCAGCAGCAGCAACAGCACGACGAGCAUCGACUUAAAACCCGCAGUUAUUCGGGAACAGCUUGCUUACUCGAACCUGUGGGAUCUCGUUCCAGACAGCUGAUGGAUGCCUCUGUCCGGAGCUCAAGAACGACACCAGGGGAUCGUCAUCCAUGGAGUACGUUUCUUCCGGGGACAAGGAGAGGUGCAAGCCCGAAAACGAACCUGGAAGAGCCUGCGAGAACUCGCAACAUACUACAUGCUCGAAGCCACAGUACGAUACUUCUACAAACCUCUAGAUUUAUCCAGUGCGCUCCACAACGUCACUCCAGCAGCGUGCAUGGCCCUGUGUAUCAAAAACUGUUCGUGCAAAGCAGUUCUAAGCCAGGAGAAAACGAGUACCUGUUUCCAGAUGAAUGAAGUUUUUGCUUUGAACAGAACUCGCAACGUCGUCGAUCAAGCUUUGCUGUUUUAGAUCAAGUUGUACCAAGAUGGAGAUCUUCCAAAGCUCUCAGCACCAGGCAGCUCGCAGAACAAAGUAGCCAAGCAGCAGAAAAAGGCAAAGCCAGCCCUCGUCGCGGCUUUCUCUGUGGCAACCAUGGCUAUAAUCAUCAUCGCAAUGGUGAUCUGGAAGAAACAGAUAAACUCGUAGCUCAAACACUACAAACCAUCGCUUCCAUCCGGUGCUAUGGACGUGGUGCGCGUCUUCACGUACCCGGAGCUCCACACUGCAACCAAAGCCUUCAGUAAGAAAAUCGCAAGUGGAGGCUUUGGCACGGUUUUCGAAGGGAUACUCUCGGAUGGAUCCAAGGUUCCUGUCAAGCGUCUGGAAACCUUCUCGAGCCAAGGAUACAAGCAGUUCAAGGCGGAGGUGGGGGCGAUCAGAAGCAUCCAUCACAAGAACCUCGUAAGACUCAAAGGCUUUUGUUCCCAGGAAUCACACCACUUCCUGGUUUACGAGUACGUACCAAACGGAUUGCUAGACAAGUGGAUCUACAAGCCGCUGGAAGAGCUCAACUGGGACACGAGAUUCAGGAUAGUCGAGGAGAUUGCUCAAGGGAUUCGCUACCUCCACGAGGAAUGCAGCACUAGAGUCCUCCACUUGGAUAUCAAGCCGCAAAACAUACUCCUGGACGAGAACUUUGGUGUCAAGAUAGCAGACUUUGGACUGUCCAGGAUGGUAGAGCAAGGAGAUCUAAGCGAUGUCAUGACCAUGAUCCGAGGAACACCCGGACAUAUGAGAUGAGAGUGAGCGACAAACUGGACGUCUACAGCUUUGGGAUCCUUGUGCUGGAAGUGGCUACCGGAUUACAAGCUUUCCAUACCUGUGUGUCUUGCGGGAGGAGCCCGGGCAUGGGCGUUUGAGAAGCUUCGGUCUGGGAAGUUAAUGGAGAUGUUAGAAGAGAAGAGGGCCCGGCACGAAAUGGAGGCUAUCUCUAAGGCCGAGAAGCUGCUUCGCAUUGGAGUGUGGUGCAUCCAGCCGGAUCCAAGGGAGCGCCCUGCAAUGGCUCAAGUCGUCAAAAUGUUGCAAGGAGUGCCCUAAAAUUCUUUGACCAAUGAAUUCUUUAUUAUUUAGAUCCUUUAAGGAGUUAAAGCUUUUAGUUUAAUCUAGUUUAAUAUGUUAUAUUUUAGUUUAGUUAAGAAAAUUAAAAAAGUUUUAUUUGGAAUAUUUUCCCAAUUUUUCCUUUUAAUAUUAAAACAUGGUUAUUAUUUAAAUGUCAGUUACGAAAACCACUUUAGAAUCAUUGUUUUUUUAGAUCUUAUUAAAGAAGUAAGAAAAAUAAUUAUUGCUCCGUGUUUUUGAAUAAAUAUGACAAUAUCAUUUUUAAAUGCACAACCAAAUAGUAGAUGGAAUAUCUUUCCUGAUUUUAGUAUAAUAUAUAAAGGCUUUGAUUUACAAGUAGAAUUUACAAAUAUGAUGGUUGGUUUUGUUAUGGAUGCUUUUUGUAAAAUUUGGAUCCACAGAAUAUAUCAAUGGACAAUUUACCAAAUCAUAUCAGUUUGAUUCAGAUUAUAUUUUUCCACAUAAAGUAAAACGUACUCACAACCACAUAAAAACGAUUUCAAUAUUUAUAAGGUCUGCAUAAGAAAUGGACCACACCAUUUUUGUCUUUUCUACAUUAUCAAAUGGGAACUUUCUGCAAUCUCUAAAUGGAAUAUUCACGCUUUACAUGCAACUGGAUUGCAAUCUAGUUUUAUAUACAAAGAGUGUAAUUGUUUGGAGCACUCACACAAAUAGCAAAGGCAAUGGAUGCUUUCUAAGGUUGCAAAAAGAUGGAAAUAUGGUAAUCUAUGAUGAAAAUUACACGGUUGUUUGGUCAUACAGCAUUUACUGGAAAGACAAAUGGAUUACUAGCGCAUUAUGUGUUAAUAACUCUGGACGUGUUAUAGUAUGCAACACUGUAGAGCAAACUUGUAUAUGCCCAUCACGAAGAUGAGAAUUUAAAAUCUAGCAUUCACUCUACACAAAUAUGAGACAAACGGACAUAAGUUGAUGCUCCAGAAGCUCUUGCGAUGGCGCCAAACCGAUUAUUGCCAUGAGUUUUACAAGCCCCAAGCAGCGUCAUGUAGGCAAUGGAGCCCGGCUCGAUUGGCAUGCUAUCGAUCACCUCUUGGGCCUCAUCAAGCCGGCCAGUUCACCCAAGCAAAUCGAUCACACACAUGAAAUGCUCCAAGUUUGGAGCUAUGUGAUGAUCGAGCACAAGAGGCUGGAAACUAUGCUUACCACUCUCAAAGAGCCGGGCGUGGCUACAUGCAGAGAGAACACUGACAAUUGUAACUUCGUCCGGAUCAAGCCCCUCGUGCUUCAUCCUCCAGAAGAAAUCAAAAGUUUCAUCAAAAUGACCGUUGUUUGCAUAUACCGAGAUGAUUCCAUUCCAUGAAACCAUGUCCUGCCCUGUCGUUGCCUCAGAAGCCAACCUUGCCCCUCCAAGGUAUCCACACUAAGCAUUUGGUGUUGAGUAGAAAACUAAGCUGGGAGAAGAAUCUAAAUGGAAACAAUGAAUUUCUCUCUUGAGACUUCCUGAAAAUUAGUGGUGCCCAAGUGCUAGUGAAAAAAUCAAAGUAGAAAGAUUCAAGGAAAGGGAGAAAUCCUUGUCCAAACGCCAAAUUCAUACUCAAGAUUGAGAAAUUGUGCUUGCAUAAUGUCUGUCAAAGCUACCUGAUUCAAUUGUGAAUUCUGGAUGUCUAGUGUGAAUGAAAGUGUGAUGGUUCACCUCAGUGCUUGGAGAGUUCUUCAAUUCGAACAUCAAAUCAGAACUGAAUCUAUCUCCCCAGAACAAAAAAUUGAUCAUUAAUGUGUUAGCAAUCUAAGUUUUUAAACUGACAAAGGACAGCAUUCGAAGAAACAUCCCAAGAAAAUAUUUUAGAACCCUAAAACGCAUCAUGGUUCUAUGCGCGUAAAUGCUGCGGCGGCACUACUCCGAAAAUGCCGAUCUCCCACGGAGGCGCGGAUUCUCCACUCGCAGAUCGCCAGGGCGGGCCUGGAUCGCAACACAUUCGUCGCGAAUCUUGUCAUUCACAUGUACAGCGUCUGCGGCAGCCUGCGGGAUGCCGAGAACGUCUUCCACAGCGGCGCAGCCCGCCGCAACGUCUACUCGUGGACGAUCUUGCUGCGAGCAUUUGCCCAGACAGAGGAUCUUGCCAGAGCCAGGGACGUUUUCACGCGAAUGGCUCAUCGCGAUGUGGUCUCCUGGAAUGCGCUGAUUUCCGGGUGCGCAGGCGCUGGGAAUCUCUCGCGGUCGCAGGAGCUCUUCGAUUCCAUCCCGGAGAGAGAUCUUGUGUCCUGGAACACGAUCAUCGCGGCGUAUGCCCAGAAUGGGCAUUGCAGAGAGGCGCUGGGAUUUUUCCGGGGCUUGGAUCUCGAGGGCGUGGCGCCGGAUUCCAUCAGCUUCGUGAGCGUUCUCGAUGCCAUUGCCGGGAUCGAAGGGCUGGAUAGAGAUCUGGCAAGGGCGAUUGCCAUGGAAGCAAUCUGGCUGGGAAUUCAUACCCAGAUCGCUGUCGGGGCGGCGCUCGUUGUGGUUUAUGGAAAGAUUGGCGAGGCCGAGAGCGCGGAGCAUUUCUUUGAUCGGAUCAUUGGCAGGAAUGCGAUAUGCUGGAACGCCAUGCUGUCCGCGUAUGCCCAAUCAGGGAAUCUUUGCAAAGCGCGAGAGUUCUUCGACCGAAUGCCUUGCGUUGAUGUGAUCUCCUGGACGACGAUAAUUGAUGCCACAUCUCGCCAUGAACGGCUCCAGGAGGGAAAGGAUCUCUUUGAUUGCAUGAAACAAAGAGAUUUGGCUGUCUGGAACGCUCUACUUUCGGCAUUUGCCCAAAAGGGGCAUGUUUUGGAGUCUAUAGAUUUGUAUGAAAGGCUCCCAGCCCACGAUCUUCGUUCAAGAACAUCACUGCUCAUAGCUUAUGCUUCGAAAGGUGACAUGGUUUCGUUGCUUGAGAUAUUUCAUCAAACAAGCCACAAGGACGUCACUCUCUGGAACGCGAUGAUCACAGCACUUGCCCUGCUUGGGCAUCUGCUAGAAGCUCUAGACCUUUUCGAUUCAAUGGACGUUCUCAAGAACAAACUCACGUACAUCAUCGCCAUCGACGCCUGCGGCAGCCUUGGCGAUCCUGAUCGAUGCGAGAGGAUCUUCCACUUGAGCCAAGCCUGCGGAUCCUUGCGUAGCAAUCACGGAGUAUCGUGCUCCUUGAUCAAGAUGUUUGGCAGAUCCGGUGCGGUGGAGAGGGCCGAGCUCGUCUUCGAGCAGAAGAAGCGGCGGAGAGAGCUCUGGAACGCCAUGAUCGCGACGUAUGCUCACAAUGGAUGCCUCGACGAAGCGAUGCUCCUUUUCAAGACAAUGCCCCGGAGAGAUCUUUCCUCGUGGAGCAUCGUCGCUAGAGCUCAAGCCCAGCAGGGACACUUCGAUCAAGCACUGUUCUUGCUCGAGAUCUCGCCAGAGAUCACUAUCGCGGCAUGCAACGCGCUGAUCACCGCGUAUCUCCAGAGAGGCCACCUCGCUAGCGCGAGGCGGGUAUUCGAUCGGAUGGAGCAGCGAGACACGAGUUCGUGGAGCUCGAUCAUCGCGGCCUAUGCCCAGCUCGGUCACUGCGAGGAAUCACUCGCGCUGUUCUGGCAGAUCGACACAACACCCGACCGCGCGACGUUCCUCGCAGCUCUCGAUGCGUGCUCGGGCCUCUCGAGCCUCUCCCACUGCCGCCAAGUUCACGCAGCGGCGGAUCACACUGGCUGGAUCUCCGAUCUCGCCGUGGCGACUUCACUGGUGGCGAGCUAUGGAAAAUGCAAGGGAGUGGAGGAAUCCAAGGCAGUGUUUGAUCGCAUCGAGCACCCAUCCACUGUCUCGUGGAACUCUUUGCUAAGAUCAUAUGCGCAAAACGGGCAUCUCGCCAAGGCCGCGAGUUUCCUCGAGGAAACCAUUCCUUCUCCAGACGUGGUCUCGUUUAACACGCUCGCGGCGGCUUAUAUCCAGCACGGGAGAGUGAACGAGGCUCUGGAGAUUCUCACGAAAAGGAUGCCCUGCUGGGACAGCUUCUCGCACAAAACAGCUAUGGUGGCGCAUGCCCAAGCCGGGCAUAUCCACAAAGCAAAGGAAAUAUUUGAGAAAAUGGAGGAGCCAAGCACGGUCUCGUGGAACACCUUGAUUUGUAUCUUCGUCCAAGCCGGGGAAUGCGAGAGUGCUGCUCGGCUCUUUCACCAAAUGGAUCUGGAAGGCACCCAGGCGGACAAGGUGAGUUUCUUGGCUGUUCUUGACGCCCUUGGGAGGAUCACCGCUCUCCAAAAGGGAAAGCUUGUGCAUGGUGAGCUCCAUCACUCUAGGUUUCAAUCCGACGUGAUGACAAGCAAUGCCGUUGUCAACUUUUAUGGGAGGUGUGGAUACCUUCAAGGGGCAAAGGUGGCGUUUGAGGCAACGACAAGGCAGGACGUGGUUUCAUGGAAUGGAAUCAUCUCGGUGUAUGCAAACAACGGGCAUUUUGAGGAAACUUUUGAUCUCUUCUGGAGGAUGAAGCUCGAGGGGCUUGAUCCGGACGAAGUCACGUUUGUCAGUGUUCUCUCUGCAUGUAGCCAUGCCGGGUUCUUUGAGAGUGGUAAGUAUAGUUUCCAGUCUCUUGUGCUCGAUCAUCACAUAGCUCCAAACUUGGAGCAUUUCAUGUGUGUGAUCGAUUUGCUUGGGCGAAGUGGCCGGCUUGACGAGGCCCAAGAGGUGAUCGAUAGCAUGCCAAUCGAGCCGGGCUCCAUUGCCUACAUGACGCUGCUUGGAGCUUGUAAAACUCAUGGCAAUAAUCGGCUUGGAAACAUGGCUGCUCCAAGCGCCAUCACAAGAGCUUCUGGAGCAUCAACUUAUGUCCUUCUAUCUCAUAUUUGUGUAGAGUGAAUGCUAGAUUUUAAAUUCUCAUCUUGGUGAUUGCCAUAUAGAAGUUUGCUCUACAGUGUUGUAUACGACAACAUGUCCAGAGUUAUCAACACAUAAUGCACUAGUAAUCCAUUUGUCUUUCCAGUAAAUGCUGUCUGACCAAACAACCGUGUAAUUUUCAUCAUAGAUUACCAUAUUUCCAUCUUUUUGCAACCUUAGAAAGCAUCCAUUGCCUUUGCUAUUUGUGUGAGUGCUCCAAACAAUUACACUCUUUGUAGAUUGCAGUCAAGUUGCAUGUAAAGCAUGAAUAAACCAUUUAAAGAUUGCAGAAAGUUCCCAUUUGAUAAUGUAGAAAAGACAGAAUGGUGUGGUCCAUUUCUUAUGCAUACCUUAUAAUAUUGCAAUCGUUUUUAUAUGGUUUUGUAGGGUGAAAUAAGCAAGUUUUACUUUAUCUGGAAAAAUAUAAUCUGAAUCGAGCUGAUACUAUAUGCUAAACCGUCCAUUGAUAUAUUCUACAAAAUCAUCCAUAACAAAAUCAGCCAUCAUAUCUGUAAAUUCUACUUGUAAAUCAAAGCCUUUAUAUUUUAUCUACUAUUUGGUUGUGCAUUUAAUAAUGAUAUUGUCAUUCUUAAGGAUUUACCAUUUUUUGAAAACACUACUUUAGAAAGUGAAAAUCCUGAGUAAUAAUUAUCUUUUCUUCCUACGUCUUUAAUAAGAUCUAAAAGAAAACCCAUGAUUCUAUGUUUAAAACUGGUUAGUUUGUUAUAUUUUGGUUUAGUUAAGUAAAAUUAAAAUAGUUUAAUUUUUAUUUAUUUAUAAAUUCUUUAAUUUUAAAAUGUAAAACCUUUUACAAGCGUUUGAGAUGAAUAUUUAAUAUGCCCAAAUCUUUAUUUCUCUUAAUUUCUAUAUUAUUUCUAAAACAUUGUUACACUUUAAGUGUCAUUUACGAAAAUCCAAAUUCUAUAUCACUAAGCCUGGAUCUAAAUAAUAAAUAAUAUCCUCGAAGAAUCUUAGGGCACUUGCAUCGGGCGCUGCUUUGGAUCCGGUUGGAUGCACCACACUCCAAUGCGAAGCAGCUUCUCGGCCUUAGAGGUAGCCUCCAUUUCUUGCCGCGCCCUCUUCUCUUCUAACAUCUCCAUUAACUUCCCAGACCGAAGCUUCUCAAACCGCCAGGAACUUUGGGCUCCUCCCGCAAGACACACAGGUAUGGAAAGCUUGAAGUCCGCUAGCCACUUCCAGCACAAGGAUCCCAAAGCUGUAGAUGUCCAGUUUGUCUCUCACUCUCAUCUGCAACCAUUCCGGAGCCAUGUAUCCGGGUGUUCCUCAGAUCAUUGUCAUGACAUCGCUUAGAUCUCCUUGCUCUACCAUCCUCGACAGUCCAAACUCUGCUAUCUUGACACCAAAGUUUUCGUCCAGGAGUAGGUUUUGCGGCUUGAUGUCCAAGUGCAGGACUCUAGUGCUGCAUUCCUCGUGGAGGUAGCACAUCCCUCGAGCAAUCUCCUCGACUAUCUUGAAUCUCGUGUCCCAGUUGAGCUCUUCCCGCGGCUUGUAGAUCCACUUGUCUAGCGAUCCGUUUGCUACGUACUCGUAAAUCAGGAAGUAGUGUGAUUCCUGGGAAAAAAAGCCUUUGAGUCUUACAAGGUUCUUGUGAUGGAUGAUUCCGAUCGCUCUCACCUCCGCCUUGAACUGUUUGUAUCCUUGGCUCGAGAAGCUCUCCAGCCGUUUCACGGCAACGGAGAGUAUCCCUUCGAAAACCGUGCCAACGCCUCCACUUGCGAUUUUCUCACUGAAGGCUUUGGUUGCAGUGAGGAGCUCCGGGUAAUUGAAGACGUGCACCACGUCCAUAGCACCGAACGGAAACGAUGGUUUGUAGUGUUUGAGAUACGAGUUUAUCUGUUUCUUCCAGAUCACCAUUGCGAUGAUGAUUAUAGCCAUGGUUGCCACAGAGAAAACCGCGACGAUGGCUGGCUUUGCCUGUUUUUGCUACUUGGCGACUUUGUGAGUUGAGCUUCGGAAGAUCUCCAGCUUGGUACAGCUUGAUCGAAAACAGCAAAGCUUGAUCGACGACGUUGCGAGUUUUGUUCAGAGAAAAAACUUCGAUCAUCUGGAAACAGGUAGUCGUUUCUCCUGGCUUAGCACCCCUUUGCACGAACAGUUUUUGAUACACAGGGCCAUGCACGCUGCUGGAGUGACGUUGUGGAGCGCACUGGAUAAAUCUAGAGGUUUGUAGAAGUAUCGUACUGUGGCUUCGAGCAUGUAGUGAUGUUGCGAGUUCUCGCAGGUUCUUCCAGGUGCUUGCAUCCCUCCUUGUUCCCGGAAGAAACGUACUUCGUGAACGAUGCAGAGGCAUCCUUCAGCUGUCUCGAACGAGAUCCCACAGGUUCGAGUAAGCGAGCUUUUCCCGAAGAAGAGGGGGUUUAAGUUGAUGCUCUUCGUGCUGUUGCCGGUGCUGAAUGAUCUCGAGGUAAACCGGGGCUCUCCAUUCGAGUAGAUCUUGAGGAACUGGUGCCCUGUUUGAUCAGUAACACCACCGAUCGUUGGAGUGGACCACAUAACACCUUUCGUCCCGUGGAUUUCCAAGCUGCUAUUGACGAGGAAGAGAAAUGAUAUCUCUUCUUCUUCCUCAUCGGAGCUCCAGACCUCUCCAAAAGAUCCUCAACAUACUGGAGUUCAAAGCGACCGAGAAGCGGCUACCUCGAGUGAGAAGUACCCUGGCUCUUUGUUCUCCUAGAGAUGCUGGCUACUAACUUCAUCCCAGGGAGCACAGCAUCACAGGGAUGAUCAAAGCUCUGCCACAGGAAAGCUCCAAUUUUGCUCCGGAUGACGAGAUUUCCAGAGCUCUCGAGGGCCAAGACUUGCGCUCCAGAUCCUCCCGUGUUGGUCAACCACACAAAGCUUCCAAUGUCACUGGAAGCACCAUCUUCCUCCAAGCUCCACUCUCGAAUCCACUCCAGAUAUUUCGAAUUAGCCUUGGCUUCAGCACCCCUUCCUGCCUCCUACUUGGGAGCAAACCUCCCAAGAGUUCCAGUUCUACUUGUCAGUCUUCUACGCCAUGGACGACAAGGAGAGUUUCAAUCUCUACUAUCUAGCAGCGGUGACAUGGCGAGCUACGCGAAAACCGUCCCGAAAGGAGCGUACCUCAGCUUUACCAGCGAUGGCGACCUGGUGCUGAGCGACGUGGAUAGGUACCCAGCUUGUGCUUGGCUUGGCUGUGGAUUCCUGUUGGCAUUGUCCAAGGAGAACCAGCGGACGAUCUUAUGAAUCGAGCUAAUGAUCAAGUUUAAAUAUUCUUAGAACCUUAGAACGAACUAUGAUUUACUUGAAUGAGGACUUGUUCAAAGCUACUUGUCUCCCAAUGGACGAUCCAGCAGCAAUGGCAUGGCAAGCUACCUUACAAACUCAGUUGAAAAAAGUAAAAGUAUAGCGAAAAUCUUGUAAAAAUAUAAAAUUCGUAGAGAGUAUCAGCAAUUAUAAGCUUUUGAUCCCAGAUGUUGCUUACACUUGUCAUCAAACGCAGAUCACUUCAUCAGGUUCACCGUUUUGGGGCACAUUCCAAGGCAGGUACCAAAAGGGUUCUUCUUGCAGCAGUAGUGUUUCUUGGACGAGUCGCACAGCUGAAAGCAGGUACCAAGAGGGUUCUUGAGGCAGCAGAAGUAUUUGACAUUGGUCUCGCAAAGUUGCAGGCAGCCGCCGAGUCCAUUCUUGAGGCAGCAGUAGUAUUUGAUCUUGGAGUCGCACUCCUGAACACAUGAUCCCAAACCAUCCUUCAGGCAGCAGUACUUAUCUUGGAGGCCUGCAGCAUUAACAAACGGAGAAGCAGUGGCGCAUAAUAAAUAUCACAAGGACAACUCAUGAUCACAACAAGAGGGAUCAUAACGUGAUCUAUGUUACCGUGUUUGGAGGGGAUGACAACAUUGAGACCAGCAGCCUC